CAUCAUUGUUAUUUGAAACUUACAGGUACAAGAAGGAUCUCCAGGACAUAGGGCCGGCCUGGAGGCAUUUUUUUGAUUUUAUAGUUGCUAUAGGAACUACACGUUUGAAUCAAGAUAAUGAUACUCUUAAAGAGCUCCUCAGAAACAACGUGGAGCGCCCACUGAAGGUGACCGUCUACAGCAGUAAGACACAGGAUGUUCGAGAAGUCACCCUAGUGCCUUCCCACAACUGGGGUGGACAGGGCUUGUUGGGUGUAAGCAUUAGGUUCUGCUCUUUUGAAGGCGCUAAUGAAAAUGUGUGGCACAUACUGGAAGUACAACCUAAUUCUCCAGCUGACUUGGCAGGACUACGCUCAGACACUGACUUUGUCAUUGGGGCUGACUCUGUUUUGCAUGAGUCUGAAGAUCUAUUCACAUUGAUUGAGAACCAUGAGGGGAAAGCCUUGAAGCUCUAUGUGUAUAACACAGAGACAGAUGCAUGCAGGGAGGUCACCAUCACACCAAAUGGAGCCUGGGGAGGCAAAGGAAGGUGGGUUUGACAUUAGUGUUAUUGCUGUUUGUUGAUUCACAGAAU
rnacentral:sRNA from 1 species